UGUUUUAUAUUUUACUAACAUCAUUUUACGUGGGGAAAAUCCAUCAUGGAUACUCUCCUGCGCGGGGACGCCAGAGGGAUAUGUCAGACUCCUACUGACUGAAAAACCACCACGUGU